rnacentral:rRNA from 1 species
UACGGAGGGUGCAAACGUUGCUCGGAAUCAUUGGGCGUAAAGCGCACGUAGGCGGUGCAGUAAGUCGGAUGUGAAGGCCCUCGGCUCAACCGAGGAAGUGCAUUCGAAACUGCUGUGCUUGAGUACGGAAGAGGGUCUCGGAAUUCCCGGUGUAGAGGUGAAAUUCGUAGAUAUCGGGAGGAACACCAGUGGCGAAGGCGGAGACCUGGGCCGAUACUGACGCUGAGGUGCGAAAGCGUGGGGAGCAAACAGG